UAAGAAUUAGACUUGGCACAUUGACCUUAUUGGAACCACUGACGCUAACCAACUGCUCUGAGAUCAGAGGACCGCCAACUUCUGUCUUGUGUCAGCAGUGUAUCAGGGCUGGAUGUGGCUGGAGCAAAAACCACUGUUCCUGGGCAAAUCAGGGAGUGAGGAAUGAAAGUGUUUGCCAA